rnacentral:rRNA from 1 species
UACGGAGGGUGCAAGCGUUGUUCGGAAUUACUGGGCGUAAAGGGCGCGUAGGCGGACUUGUAAGUUAGAAGUGAAAGCCCCGGGCUCAACCUGGGAAUAGCUUUUAAAACUGCAGGGCUUGAGGACGAGAGAGGAAAGUGGAAUUCCUAGUGUAGAGGUGGAAUUCGUAGAUAUUAGGAAGAAUACCGGUGGCGAAGGCGGCUUUCUGGCUCGUAACUGACGCUGAGGCGCGAAAGCGUGGGGAGCAAACAGG